UCAUUUCUCGUAUAACUAAUUAAAAUACGAUACCAUCCUAUAUCCCUACAUCCUUGUUAUAUCAUCCGCAUAUACACGGUACCCAGACCAAGCUAUAACUUUUCAAUGGGAAUCUCUGCUAGAAUUCAACGAAUCUUCGCAGAAUUUCCGCCUUAUAUCCUCGAUACGCUUAAUGUUAUACCAUUCAUUUCGAGAGUCCUUCACAAAACGGAGCUACAGUUGCCCCGGCGAACGAGAACGGGAGAAAGGGAAGAUCACUGAAUCGAAAGGAGAAGGAGCAAAUAAAAGAAGGAGAAGCAUAAACAGGCAGAGACGAAGUGUCUGUAGCAAGCCACAGAUUCAUCCCGCUCCUCGGUCUUGACGAGCUCUCUACCACCGGAAAUUGAAAACAGGAACGAGGGAGAAAAUGAAUGGCCAUUGCCUGGUUUUGAGCGAACUUUCCCUGGUGGUUGAAAGGUGAAGUAAUGAGAUAUUUAUAGUGAAUUCGUGAAGCAUCAAAGUGAUAUUAAUAUUGGAAUUAAAGAUAGAUUUAUCAAAGUUAAUUAUUAUAACUUUAAGUUGCUAUUAGGUUACAAUAUAUAAAAUAUCCAAUUGUA